AAGUCGUAACAAGGUUUCCGUAGGUGAACCUGCGGAAGGAUCAUUAUCAAUGAUAUCCAUCAAACCCGUGAACGAAUGAACUGCAUUUCGGGCGUCUGUCCGAAUCUUGAACACAGCUUACAUUAAUCAGAUACAAAAAUGAUAGAUACAACUUUUAGCAACGGAUCUCUAGGUUCUC
rnacentral:misc_RNA from 1 species